rnacentral:rRNA from 1 species
ACCGCAUGGUUCAAUAGUGAAAGACGGUUUUGCUGUCACUUAUAGAUGGAUCCGCGCCGCAUUAGCUAGUUGGUAAGGUAACGGCUUACCAAGGCAACGAUGCGUAGCCGACCUGAGAGGGUGAUCGGCCACACUGGAACUGAGACACGGUCCAGACUCCUACGGGAGGCAGCAGUAGGGAAUCUUCCGCAAUGGGCGAAAGCCUGACGGAGCAACGCCGCGUGAGUGAUGAAGGUCUUCGGAUCGUAAAACUCUGUUAUUAGGGAAGAACAAAUGUGUAAGUAACUAUGCACGUCUUGACGGUACCUAAUCAGAAAGCCACGGCUAA